rnacentral:rRNA from 1 species
AUUGAACGCUGGCGGCAUGCUUUACACAUGCAAGUCGAACGGUAACAGGUCUUCGGAUGCUGACGAGUGGCGAACGGGUGAGUAAUGUAUCGGAACGUGCCCAGUAGUGGGGGAUAACUACUCGAAAGAGUGGCUAAUACCGCAUGAGAACUGAGGUUGAAAGUGGGGGGACCUUCGGGCCUCAUGCCAUCAGAUGUGCCCAGAUGGGAUUAGCUAGUAGGUGAGGUAAUGGCUCACCUAGGCGACGAUCCCUAGCUGGUCUGAGAGGAUGACCAGCCACACUGGAACUGAGACACGGUCCAGACUCCUACGGGAGGCAGCAGUGGGGAAUAUUGCACAAUGGGCGCAAGCCUGAUGCAGCAACGCCGCGUGAGGGAUGAAGGCCUCGGUUGUAACUCUUUAUCAGGAGAAGCGAAGUGACGGUACC